rnacentral:rRNA from 1 species
UGGGGAAUAUUGGACAAUGGGCGCAAGCCUGAUCCAGCCAUGCCGCGUGAGUGAUGAAGGCCUUAGGGUUGUAAUGCUCUUUUUGGCGGGGACGAUAAUGACGGUACCCGCAGAAUAAGCCCCGGCUAACUUCGUGCCAGCAGCCGCGGUAAUACGAAGGGGGCUAGCGUUGUUCGGAAUUACUGGGCGUAAAGCGCACGUAGGCGGAUCGGCAAGUCAGGGGUGAAAUCCCGGGGCUCAACCUCGGAACUGCCUCCGAUACAGCACGUCUCGAGUCCGGAAGAGGUGAGUGGAAUUCCUAGUGUAGAGGUGAAAUUCGUAGAUAUUCGCAGGAACACCAGUGGCAAGGCGACUUGCUGGGCUUGUAGUGAAGCUGAGACGCGAAAGCGUGGGGAGCAAACAGGAUUAGAUACCCUAGUAGUCCCUGAGCGGGCUGGCAAGGCGCAU